UAACCUGCCUGGUAGGCGGGGGAUAACUAUUGGAAACGAUAGCUAAUACCGCAUAAGAACAUUUACUGCAUGGUAGAUGUUUAAAAGGUGCAAAUGCAUCACUACCAGAUGGACCUGCGUUGUAUUAGCUAGUAGGUGAGGUAACGGCUCACCUAGGCGACGAUACAUAGCCGACCUGAGAGGGUGAUCGGCCACACUGGGACUGAGACACGGCCCAG
rnacentral:rRNA from 1 species